AGGUUAGAUGCAAAAACACGACAACAGGCAUUAUAGGAUAAAAUGGACGUUUGCAUCUUAGUCGCUUAUCCUCCAUCGCAGGCCAGUGUCCCACGGCAUCUGAUCUUACGUCUUGUAAUGGAAUAGCUAUAGUUGGUCCUGUUUUUUUUUGUUUUUUUUUAAUUCUCAUUUAAUAGUAGAAGGGGACCCCUUUUUUUUGGACAUGUCCUUGUCUUCCAUACUUAGUGUUUUAACAUUAAAUGCUCUGUAGGCUAACAAAUCCAUUUGCAUUAUUUUUGGCUCACCUAAGGAAUUGCAAUCGCGUCGAUGUCACCGGUUCACAAUUACCAAGUUCGAAAAAUGAAAAGGAAACCCUGUGGUGAUAAUUAUUUAAUCAAAUGUGGAUCCUGUACUAUGCAAUGAGUGCAUCAAGAGCAUCAACACCACCCACGAACUGUAUAAUGUUUAAUUUUGUUCUUUCCACUUGUGACACGAGCUGGGCACUAGCAACACUACUGGCAGCUACAACAUCUCUAUAGUCAUACCAUUUUACUGCUCUAACAGAUACAUUGUCAAGAACAA